rnacentral:SRP_RNA from 1 species
CCGUGCUAGACGGGGAGGUAGCGGUGCCCUGUACCCGCAAUCCGCUAUAGCGGGGUUGAAUCCCUGUUUUCGGUCUUGUCGAUGUGAGGUCUGACUUCUACACGAAGUGUUGACGGUUGGGUCCUCCGCAAUGAGCGCUUGUGAACCCGGUCAGGUCCGGAAGGAAGCAGCCGUAAGCAAGAGUGCCCAUGUGCCGGAGGAGUGCCUGACUCGAGCUAACCGGUAGAGGUUCCGCUUGGAUCGCAAGGUCAACGACAGGUGCACGG